UACGUAGGGGGCAAGCGUUGUCCGGAAUCAUUGGGCGUAAAGAGCGUGUAGGCGGCCCGAUAAGUCCGCUGUGAAAUCUCGAGGCUCAACUUCGAGCUGUCGGUGGAAACUGUCUGGCUAGAGUCCGGAAGAGGAGAAUGGAAUUCCUGGUGUAGCGGUGAAAUGCGCAGAUAUCAGGAAGAACACCCGUGGCGAAGGCGGUUCUCUGGGACGGUACUGACGCUGAGGCACGAAGGCCAGGGGAGCAAACGGG
rnacentral:rRNA from 1 species